CAAUAUCUGAGUUUUAGAGUUUGUGCAGUAGAAUGUUGUGGUCUACUGUGUCAAAGGCCUUAGGAAAAUCAAGGAAAGUAGCUCCAGUUAGGGCUCCUUGUUCCAUGCCAGUUUGGAUGUCAUUGCAAACUUUUAAGAGGGCAGUUGUAGUGGAGUGAUUCUGGCGAAAGCCCGAUUGAUCAGAGGUCAGAUAGUUAAAUUGUUG
rnacentral:lncRNA from 1 species